UUGAAACACCGGUUCCCUGUACCAUCACUGAAGUUAAGGAACGUCGAGCCUGGUUAGUUCCUAGAUGGGUGACCGCUUAGGAAUACCAGGUGCUAU